GGGUUCCACACAGCCCAGCCAGGGGAAGCAGCAGGGUCCUCUCCCUUCCUGGGCCACGACCCGCAAAGGGGACGCUUCUUUCGGGUGCGGCCGGACAAAUGCUAGGUUACCGGUUGAACAGAGAAAUAAGCUGGAGGAGAGGCUACCAGAGAACUGAACCAGACACCCAAACCACGAUACGAAUCAGAACUCGAGAACCACCCCUCUGAGACCCCGAGUGCGCUCUGUCCCCAAGGGGUGGGGUCGCUUCGUGCCGCCCAGCGUCCGUCCCCCCAGGUCUUCUUCCCCUAUCACACACCCACAGAGAAGCCCAGCCGCAAGCUUCCCACCCAAACUGGGGACCCAGGGACAGCACCCACGCACGGCGCGCAGAGGAAGAGGUCACCGAAAGGUGGCCCGGGUGGGUCCCGCCGGAGACCGCGGCCAGCACUCUGAAAGUCGCACUGCCCUUCGGAAACAGGAGAUUCCUAUAUUUUCACUCCUGGGAGAGACUCCUAAAGAAAUAGCUGGAGGAAAUCAAGCUGCAAGCGCUCAGCUGUUCCUGCUGCCACAUUUGCUCUGCCAUCAUGGACUUUAACAUCCUGAAGACAGAAGCCCAAUUAAACUCUUCCUCUUAAAUUGCCUUCAUCAAGUGCUCCAAGUGUUAACCAGACCAGUAAAACAAGAGAAGGAAAUAAAACAGAUGAAAAUAAGAAAGAAGAAAUACAAACUGUUGGCAGAAAUGAGAGUGGUGUAAAGACACCUAUACUGUACUCAAAGCAGCUCUGCAGAAACUCCAGCUUCCUGAGAGCUCGUUUUUGCCUUAUUUCUUGUCUCCAGGUCAGUUUCAUUCAUCUCUUGACCUGUUAAACUAUCCUGUUCUUCUCAUACAAAGAAUUCCAUGUCAUUAGAAUGUAUUUGAGUCUCUUCCCUAAUAAAGGGCCUUAGCUUAA